UACCCAUCCAGAGCGAUUGAGAGACCUGGCUCCACGACAUCGCAGCAACCCGAGUGCGGGUGCUAACGCCAGGAACGAUGGACG
rnacentral:ncRNA from 2 species